GACGAACGCUGGCGGCGUGCUUAACACAUGCAAGUCGAACGGAAAGGCCCUGCUUUUGUGGGGUGCUCGAGUGGCGAACGGGUGAGUAACACGUGAGUAACCUGCCCUUGACUUUGGGAUAACUUCAGGAAACUGGGGCUAAUACCGGAUAGGAGCUCCUGCUGCAUGGUGGGGGUUGGAAAGUUUCGGCGGUUGGGGAUGGACUCGCGGCUUAUCAGCUUGUUGGUGGGGUAGUGGCUUACCAAGGCUUUGACGGGUAGCCGGCCUGAGAGGGUGACCGGCCAAAUUGGGACUGAGAUACGGCCCAGACUCCUACGGGAGGCAGCAGUGGGGAAUAUUGCACAAUGGGCGGAAGCAUGAUGCAGCAAAGCCGCGUGCGGGAUGACGGCCUUCGGGUUGUAAACCGAUUUCGCCUGUGACGAAGCGUGAGUGACGGUAAUGGGUAAAGAAGCACCGGCUAACUACGUG
rnacentral:rRNA from 1 species